AGAGAGUCAGGCGGCCUGUGAAAAGACGGGUAAUUGGGGUAUAUGGAAGGAGAGAGCCUUGGAUGUGAAUGUCUUUGGAUUGUGCUCACCUUGGAGAAGUUACACUAAUGGAAGAAAAUCAGGAUUUGGUCUCACAGACACACAGCUAGACUAUCAUCACUCCACCCAGGAGACCACUCAUCUCUCCCUUCAACUCUUCUACCUCUCCUCCGUCCUGCUGUCUUCCCUCACGACUCCCAUCCAGCCAUCUAUCCAU
rnacentral:lncRNA from 1 species